AACGUCGCUUUGUCUAUACGUAUAGAACUUUACAAUCAAGUUUGUUUUCAAUUGAAUAUAUUUUAUUUUGCAAUUUUUCUUUGUAUCUCACGUGGCCAUAAAUAAAUAAAACGUACAUAAGCAGUUUCACAAAGAAUGUAUUGUGAUAUUAGUAUGUAUAUACAAAAGGAACAUAAAUAACAGAAAAUAUAUAUUAGAUAAAAGUUAUUGCGAGAAUUAAAUAAAGAAAAAGAAAAAGGAGAGUAGCAUGGAACAGCAAAGCGAAAAACAUGUUCAAGAAUAAACAGUAGAACAUUUAGUAAAGAAAAUUGUAACGAGAAUACAAAAGAAGACGACGGUCGUCUUUUAAAUAUGGUCGAGAAAACAACAACGAUAACAGAAAAGAAGAAACACAGGCCAAGAGAAGAGAAAGAAUAAAGAGUCAAACGCCAACUAUAAGUAACUCGAAGCUUUUUCAAAACACAACGAAUCAAAACAAUCAACAAAUACGUAGAGUAAAGUAGAAAAUAAUAAAAAAUAUAUUUAAUGUGUAUUAGGUUUGUUGUCGAUUCUUGUGUGUCCGCUCGUGCAACAACAAUUCCGAACAGCGACAACGCUUUAAUAAUAACUCAGUGAUUUCGGUGUGGUAGUCAAGUUUUUAAUUUUCUUGUCGUAGCGGCUGGCCUUUCAGUCCUUAAAAUUUAUUUAAGCUAUUCGAUGAUCUUUGCAUUCUUUGCCUGGCUUGCUCUUAACUCCAGCACAGAAAGCAAUUUGAAUAGUGGUGUUAAAAAUUUUGCCUCCGUUUCUUUAAACCCGGAUUUCUUAAAACGAACAAGAAAAGUAAAGUAAAAAAAAAAACGACAGGCAGCAAAAUCAAAAAAACUGAGUUAACAAGCAAAA